CUAAGGAAGGCAGCAGGCGCGUAAAUUACCCAAUCCUAAUACGGGGAGUAGUGACAAGAAAUAUUGAUAUUGGACCAAAGGGUACAAUGAUUGAAAUGAGAACAAUAUAAAAAACUUAACGACUAACAAUUGGAGGGCAAGUCUGGUGCCAGCAGCCGCGGUAAUUCCAGCUCCAAGAGUGUAUAUUAAAGUUGUUGCGGUUAAAAAGCUCGUAGUUGAAUUUCUGAAAAUAAUCUUGUGAUUGAUUUAACCGUCAUGAACAAAAAUUGUUUACAUACUUGAUAGAUGGAAACAUUUAUCUUAAUGACUUUGAAAAAAUUAGAGUGUUCAAAGCAUGAUUCACAUUUGAAUAAUACAGCAUGGGAUAAUAUAAUAUGACAUUAGUUAAAAAUUUGUUGGUUUCUUUGGCUAAUGUAAUGAUUAAAAGGGAC
rnacentral:rRNA from 1 species